rnacentral:rRNA from 1 species
GUGAGGAAUAUUGGACAAUGGGCGCAAGCCUGAUCCAGCCAUGCCACGUGCAGGAAGACGCAUCUAUGGUGUGUAAACUGCUUUUGUACGGGAAGAAACACUCCCUCGUGAGGGAGCUUGACGGUACCGUAAGAAUAAGGAUCGGCUAACUCCGUGCCAGCAGCCGCGGUAAUACGGAGGAUCCAAGCGUUAUCCGGAAUCAUUGGGUUUAAAGGGUCCGUAGGCGGUUUAAUAAGUCAGUGGUGAAAGCCCAUCGCUCAACGAUGGAACGGCCAUUGAUACUGUUAGACUUGAAUUACAAGGAAGUAACUAGAAUAUGUAGUGUAGCGGUGAAAUGCUUAGAUAUUACAUGGAAUACCAAGUGCGAAGGCAGGUUACUACUUGUGGAUUGACGCUGAUGGACGAAAGCGUGGGGAGCGAACAGGAUUAGAUACCCCUGUAGUCC